rnacentral:lncRNA from 12 species
CCCCCCCCCCCCCCCCCCCCCCCCCCCCCCCCCCCCCCCCCCCCCCCCCCCCCCCCCCCCCCUUCCGGGUUUGGUUUUUUUUUUUUUUUUUUGGGAUGGGGAAAGUGGGAAAAUCCUGUGGGAUGAAGGAGGGAAUUCCCAAUUUUUCCAGGACUCCUUUUCCUGGAAUUCCCAAUUUUCCCAGAGCUCCUUUCUCCAGAAUUCCCAAUUUUUCCAGAGCUCCUUUUUCCAGAAUUCCCAAUUUUCCCAGAGCUCCUUUUCAUGGAAUUCCCAAUUUUCCCAGGGCUCCUUUUCCCGGAAUUUGCCCCAGGAUCUCUCUGGGAUGUUCCAGGCCGGGGAUGUCUGGGGGGGGUUGGGAUCCUCCUGGAUCUACAUUCCCAAAUCUCUGUCCCAAAUUCCCAAAUUCCCAUCCCAAAAUCUGUCCCCAAUUCCCAAAAUUCCAUCCUGAAUUCCCAAACUCCAUCCCCAAUCCCAAACCUCCAUCUCCCAUCCCAAAAAUCUGUCCCUAAUUCCCAAAUUUCUCCCCACAUUCCCAAAUCCCCAAUUCCCAAAUCUCCAUUUCCAAAUCCCCGAAUCUCCAUUUCCAAAUUCCCAAAUCUCCAUUUCCAAAUUCCCAAAUCUCCAUUCCCCAAUCUCAAAUCUCCAUCUCCCAUCCCAAAAUCUGUCCCCCAUUCCCAAAUUUAUCCCCAAAUUUAUCCCCAAUCCCCAAAUCUCUGUUCCCAAUUCUCAGAUUCCCCUUCCCAAAUCCCAAUUCCCAAAUUUCUCCCCACAUUCCCAAAUCCCCAAUUCCCAAUCCCAAAUCCCCAUUCCCAAAUCCCCAACUCCAUCCCCAAAUCCCCACAUCCCCAAACCUCCCUCCCCGAUCCCAUUUGGAUUUUUCCCACCCCGGAAUUUCUUUUUUUCCCUUGGGAAUUCUGACCUUUCCCGCCCUUAUUGCUCUGGAAAACGGCUUCGAUUUGGGAAUCCCCAAAAAACCAAAAAAACAAAACAAAAAAAAAAUCCAAACCCCAAAAUCCCCAAAUCCCACGGAUUCUUCAAAAUCCCAUCAAAAGAGGAAGGGAAAAAAACCAAACCCCCCCCCCCCCCCCCCCCCCCCCCCCCCCCCCCCCCCCCCCCCCCCCCCCCCCCCCCCCCCCCCC